GUUCAAGGAUAUAUUUCAAUGCCCAUCUUGUUGCUUCGGCAAUUAUGAUUUUGGUUGUUGGCACCCGUCCGUCUCGAGAGACACUGGAACGGUGCCUCCAGGGAUGAAGUGAAACUGCUGUGAUAGCAGCACCGAAAUCACCUCCCCAGAGCGCAGGCCUGGGCAUUGUGUAUGGAGAUUCUGGGCUGCCCCGGUGACAAGAUCGUCCCCCCUGCCCCAGUCAGCCUCUCUGAUGUGAUCCAAAGGAAAGCAGAGCAAUACGUUUGGCACCAGCUUGGCUGCAGGAGUUGCUGGAAGAAGGCAUACAAGGCCCCAUCCAACAGCCUUCUUAGGGACUCCACUCUGUAUUUCUGUAGGGCUUACUCUUCUCCCAAAGAUAUCCCACAAGGCAGCAGAGGUUGAAGAUCAGCACUUUCAGUCUUUCUCCUAGAUGGGCUACCUUCCCAGGUGUUGACAAGUAAGUCCCAUCUGCUCCUCAUUUCCCUCUACAGCACAUGCAGAAACCGCCUUCUUCCAUGUUGGACCCAUAUUGGUCUUAACUUCUCAAUCUGCUGGAGCUUGUCUUCACAUACAGGGGAAGUCCCUAACUUACCAAGGGUUUGAGAUCCCCAUUGGCUACCCUCACCAGGUUUAGCCAAUCAGUCGAAGCCAUUCCCAGAGGGGUGGCCGCUGUCGCAUGCUGACAGGUGACUAGGAGCUACAGGUGAGAGCUGGUUGCAGCUACAGGUGACUAGGAGCUACAGGUGAGAGCCGGUUGCAGGGUGGAGAACCAAAGAUGGACAAACUACCCCAGAAAGAGCAUGACGUGUGUCCACCGCUAGAGGUACUACCCCUCCUC